GAGAAUAACCAAACUUAAAAAUGAAUGUUCUUGAUAAUAAUGAUGGGUAUCAACCAAACAGGAAAUUCUUGGUUAAAUUAAUAUACAUCUAUUGUAGUAACAAACGUCGUUAUAAAUUACAGAAGAAAUUAUAUUUAAGAAAAUACACAACUAAAAAAAAAAUCAUUGUUCAUUCAACUAACAAAAUUUCAAUAAUUACAUGCUUUAACUUCAUCUAGAAAGCUUUCCUAACAUCUUUUCCUGAUUGUCAAUUUCUUCAGCCAAGGCAGCAAUUCCAUUAAUUGGUAUUCUGAAUUAUAAGCUGUUAGGUAUGAUACAACAUGGGGCUACUUUGAUUCUUUAAAAUCCUACUGAUGUACAAUGCGAAGAUUAUGGCAUGGGAAUCAGAACUGCAAAAUUGGAAGGGACCCAAAUGCCACUAACCUUGGCCUAGCUUGGCAACUCCAUUGAGGCAAAAUCUUCUGAUCCAGUAAAUCUGAUUUUCAAGCAUGUCAACUAGCAGUAGAAGAUUCUUUAGAUUUCUCUGCCAGCACCUCCUUAUCUGAGUUAUUGCUAGCAUCACCAGUUAGAUUGUGACUUGUUUGCAACUGAAUUGAAGUCUGUGGAUCUGGAGCUAUUCCCAGAACCACCAGAAUAGACCUUGGUAGUGAAGAUUUGAUGUUUGGUUGGCUAGCAUGAGCAACCAAAGGGGCUUUCAAUGCUGCAGUUCUAUUCAGUGCAUUUUCCAGCUGCGGAGGAGGUAGCUGAAGCAACACACUAAAUGACUGAGGCUUUGUCAAGAGGGCACACUUCAAGAAUCCAACCCACAACUUCGGGUAUUUCCAUAUCUGCUUGUUAACAAGACGAGAAAGGAUCUCCAUUAUAAAUUCCACCAGUGCUGGAAAAGCACCUAUAGCUUGUAACACCGUACGCAUGAAUAACAAAGGAAGAGGAAUCUGCUCAACCAACUGAUUCAAAACUUUCGCAAUAACUUGUUGAGUAAAUAUCUGCCGUUGCUCGAAACAAGCAUUACAUGCAUCUGUGACCUUCUUCAAGGGAAUUCCAUCUUUGUCGGGAUCAAUUCCAUGAAUGGCUAUUAACACUUCUGCUGGAGAGAGCACUGGACCAGAGUGAGGUGAUCCCUGUAGUACACGUGCAAGUGCAGCUUGGAACUUAUCAGGAGGAAGAUUCACAAGAUGGGGAAAGGUCAGCAAAACCUCAUCUCUUGGUAGGAAUGGCAGUACUGGAAUCAGAAUCUCUAUAUCCUUUAGCUUUGAAUCAUAUAACUUCCUAAUGGUGAACAAUAAUUCAGGAGAAGGAACUGUCCCCUCUGUCAAUGUUUGUAAAACCUGCAUCAGAAGAUUUUCACUUCCAAUUGGAGGAUCAGAAAGUAUUUCAAGAAGUUCAGAUGAUGAUCCCAUAGUGCGGACUAGUAUCGGAAUAUGGCGAUGAACUGCCUGCUUCACUGCCUUUGAAGUGCUUUUAUAAAUGAGAAAAAUUUGGCGAAAUAGGGAGUGUUUCUUUGUGCAAAGAGCAAAGUACAGUGACAUGCACCGCUGGGCCUCAGGGAUUGAGAGAGAUGAUGCACUUUCUGAUGUGAAUGAUUGAUGAGCAUCUGAAGAAAUAUCUUUGCUGGCAGCACUCACUGACUGAUGGUCAUUUGAUGUUUUUUCAAAAUUGGAAUCCUCCUGUGGUUCACUGCUCAAUCCUUCAGCAUCUGUACCUUCUGUGGUAUCUCUACUUAUGAUACAGAGCAAUUUUUCCUUAGCAAAAUCUUCUAUUUGUUGAGCAAUGGAUGAGAUAGGAUAAAGCUUGUUUGCCACCAGGCGAAUUGCUUUCAUGCGCACUUCCUCCAAGUGAUGAACUGCACUCUGCAAAGCGAUUUUCAAGCAGACUUCUCGCAUAGGAGGCCUCUGCAAAAUCAAGCUCCACACAGUGCUGAGACCUUGAGUAACUCGAUCCCCACUUGGGAACUCCUUCUCAGCUUUAUCAUUUCCAGGACAACACAAGGACUCCAACAAAUUCAGAACUGACUUUGGAAGAGAAGGAGCUUCACCAAGCAAUCUACUUAAUGAUUUGUCUGAUGGAGGAAAAGAGUCUCUAAGUGUUUCAGCCACAGUUAGGAGGAACAUUUCAUAAACAGAAGCAGCAGUUGUAGAAGAAAAGAAAUCGCGUUCCUCUUCUACCUCACCAAAUAAUCUGUAGAGGACACGCAAAGUCAACUCGUGUCCCUCAUGAUUCACGUAAUCUGACAAUAUGUGCUUCUGAAGGAGUUUCCACGGGUCUAACUCUGAUGGAAACUCAACUCCUAAAUAAGCAAGCAAGGAAAAGCGGAUUUGUGAACCUCCCGCAACUGCUAUUUGCUUAUAGGCCUCAACAAUGUGCAUAAAGGCCAAAUUUUGCAGUUGAUCCUUCUGUUCUUCUGCAAGAUCAACAACAGGUGCUGACAUUUUUGGGAGGACAAAAGUGCUAGGUAAACUCACAGUAGCUGUUGUAGAAGAGAUUAGACAGUUAGAAUCUGCCACAGCUGCUUUUGGACUAAGCUCCUCUGACCUAUCUGUUGAUGCCGCUGGAUGCAAAUCCAGGGUUGAACUUCCAUCCAAACUUGUAACUUGCUCUUGACUGGCAUCUUCCAGAUCGGUAGAGACUAAUGACAAAGCGGCCACAGUUUCAGAACAUCCAUCAUCAUGAGCAGAAGAAUCUAGGCCAGGUAUCUCACUCUCCAGAUUCCCAAGACUCAGGCUAUCAGAUGGAAUAUCCAUCUCCAUUCCAGAUAAGAUCACAUUUGAAGGUGCCGGUAAACUAGCAGGUAAGAUUUCAUUUUCAGCUCCAUGACUUAUUCCAGAAUAUACAACAUUACUAUCAACCACAGGCUGCACUUGUGCCGUCCUCUCUAUGUCAUUGGAAGCUGACUGGUGAGCAUUUAGCCGUAAUGCUAUCGGCGGGAAAGAAGUAGAAAGUGAAAGAACAUUAGUCAAAAAUGAAUAUGGAUACUUGGCUUGAGUGUUACUACCAAUUAUAGUCAUAUUCACUAGCGAUUCAUCGUCUCCUUCAGCUUGAGGAUGACUAGUAGGAAGGUAGCGCAUGUUAGCCAUCACUACUUCAGCUAACAAGUCAGCAGAGAUACUCGAAAUAAGAAUCUCCAAGGAACCAACAGCUUUUUCACCUUGAGCAACCAAGGCCCCGAACAUUGCAACAAGUUGCUGUACAGGUCCAGUAUCAUCUUCUCCUCCAUUAACUGUAGGUCCAUCUGCAGGACCAUCAUCUUGAGACGCUGAAAUAUUCCUAUUCAACUCUUUAGUUGAUUCCUCUGAAACACUUGGCAUCGGUCUGGCACGUUUUCCAGACACAUCAUUGUCUUCUGCCAACUCACUACUAUCCUCUGCUCCAGAUCUUUUCCUUCCCAAUAUACCUUGUAUGCCAUCAAAUGUUUCAACCUCAUCCAUAACAGCUGUCGAAACUUCCUCUCCCUCCUCAGUACCCCUCUUAAUCUUGAAAACUUGAUGUAGGGCUUCCUCAGCGACCCCUCCAGCUUUCAGCUCUCUUAGGGCACCAACUAAACGAUCCCGCCACGGUGCAGCACCAGGGUGCGUACAUUUCAAGCAGGUGAGGAAAGCACUUUUCAAAGCAUGAUUUGCUCCAGAUGCAUGCAUAACUUCAAUACCAGAGCCUGAUGGACCCAAACCAAGUAAAACUGGCAGGAUGCGUCCAUAAUAUGGGGGCCUUUUCUUUGCAAUUGUAGCAAGACCAUUAAUGAGCACCACAAUCACCAAGUUAUUGAGAGAUUUCACUGUUGGGAACCUAAGCUGAUCAAGCAAUAAACCCAAUCUUUUGCUGGCCUCAAUUGACAAAUCUCCUAUAUUUAGUAUUGGGUGGCCCCCACGAAGCCAUGAUAUAUUAAACUCCACAAGUUCUCCUUCAUGACGAGGGGGUUCUGGGGAGCCAUUUGGAUCAGGUGUGUAAAGAAGAAUGACUGCUUCCACAAACUUCAAGGCUAGCAACCUUACCCCGCCACUUCCAGGCUGAAAAGCUAUAGAGUACAUUUUUUCCUUGAAUUCUAACAUUGAAGACCACGAUGACUUGAGCAAAUCAUCCAACUCACUGGCGUAAAGUCCCUGAAUCGCAAGUUUUUGAAGGGUAGACCGAAACAAAUUAAUCCCACAAGUGAUGGCUUGUCUAGCAACGGCUGGUGCACUAUCUUCCAAAACACUCAUUAAAACAGGAACGAUUUCAGGCACAAAUUCCAAGUGGUUGAGUCCAAUUUCUCCAAUUAUCUGGGCAACACGUUUGCGAACCGGAGAAUGCUGAUCAGACUGCAACUCGAAGAGGCGAGGGAGGAACUCAGAAAGCGAACCAGUGUCAUCUUCUUGGAGCAAAUUUUGGUUUAAUUGACGCAAAUUUUCAAGCUUUGAAGGUAUGUCUAUGGACGACCUGACGAGGGUGGCGAGCCUAUCUCUCGAAGUGGAAUUCGUCAUCCCCACCAUUGCAGAAUCUGAAAACCCUAAUUUUGGCAGGUCGAGGUGAGAUGCUUAGAGAAGCAUAUUAAUUAUUAGUUCUGACAGAGGGCAAAGAAAAAUUUGAAUGCUGAUAUCCACAAAAUAAAAGGAUUGGAUGAGAUCAAAACCAGAGAAAGGGAAUAGCCACUAGGGUUCAGUUCAUCAACUUUGGUAGAGACGGUUCAGUUUGGACCUUUGGUCCUCUGAAGGCCAAAAAAAUAAAAGCUGUAAUAAAC
rnacentral:misc_RNA from 1 species